AGUGCAGCCUAAACUGGGCCACAGAUAGAAGGGCAGGGGACCUGGUCUGUCUGUCUGUCUGUCUGUCUGAGAAUGCAGGUUAAGGAGAAGGUUGGGGCAGUGCUGUCUGAAAGUGUGGUGAAAUGGAACCUGUGUGGUUUCCUUUGGAUAUGGCUGCUCCUGUAAGGCCUUCAGGUAGUAUCCAGUCUCCUCCACUCUCAGCCACUUCAGAGCAGGUGUGACCAGCUGCUGUGUCUGGGGAUGCCUCUGGUUUGGAAUGUAUAGGGUCACAGUCAAAAUGGAACGAGUGUGUCUGUUUCUGGUUUAAAAGGGGGAAACAAGAAGACACUCUUUUAGCCAGAGAGGGCCCACGUUCAUCAAACUUCGUGUGGCUUGGAAGCGGACCCUAACUCCAGCUCCCUCCCUCUCUCGCUGUGGCACUUUUCUCAAUUCCUGUAGCAUGCCCAUGUUUCCAACAUGCGGACUGAGAUGAGAACACUAAUGCUGACAGCUGAAGCCCCGCCCACCAAGGUCCUCUGUUUCUCUGGACAUCUUGGUUUCUAUUUCUCAGGAAAGCUUCAACACCCGUGGUACCAGUCUCUCAUGAUUUUACAUCUGAGGGAAGGGAGUUUAGCAGGGCUGUGUUUGCUAAGAGAUAUCAGAGUAUGUCUGUGUAAGUCUAAGGCAUACUGUCCCUAACAGCCCUCUAGGGGCUUCAGCUGGACAGGCCCACACCACCCCUGUUGAGGGCCUCCUUGCAUUCAGCUCAGCAGAUCCCCUGAUUUCCAGUGCCUGUGAGGCUAGGAAGUGGUUAGAGAAGUUUCUUAUGAUGUCACAACACAGGUGUCCAGUGGCAGCGAUGGUGGGGUAUCUACCAUGCCUGGAGUGACCCUGUUGGGAAAGUGAGGUGGUUUGAGUGGGCUCCUCAUGGGCCUCCAGCAGCAGGCAGCACACCCGGCAGGGGCUCAAACCCUGCUCUUAAUCUAAUCCAGAUACGUAAUGUCUCCUUUCAAACAUUGUGCUGUCUCAGAUGUGAGGCAGCCAGUCAAUCCUCAUCUAUGACAAAUCAACUGGGAAGACCCUGCGUUGUGUCCCAAAGGCCACUGUGGGUUAAGAGGCCAUGCUUCUUAGAGUUCCAUCACCCCUAAAAACCAGACCUUGGGGGGAACAGGGGUGCCUUUGGCUUCAGGAUUCACCCUGUUAUUAGAAUAUUUAGGAUCAAAGCCUGGAGUCUUGUACCCCUAAUAAGAGAGGCUCAGCCAUUUGUCACCAAUGUGCCAAUGAAAGAGACAAGUAAUAGAAACAGAGGAUAGAAUAGAAUUCAGUGUGGCUACAGGUGGAGCAAACAGGCUGCUGAUCACACAACCCCCUCAACCAAGACCAUCUUCCUGAUGUGAAGCUCAGGUUUAAAUAGAGGCCCAGAAAACAGACGGUUAAACAGGGCAUGCAAAGGUUCGUGGGAGACACAAGGGAGCAUCCAGAUCCCUGCUUUCUCCUUCUAGAGACCGGGUUUCUAAGGAUGCUGGGUGGAGACACUGCUCCAUGUGGCUGCCUGAAGAGUUCUUUACCUGGCCUGAGGGUAAUUUCAGUUUCUGCACUUUUGUAGGGGCAUUCGAGCCAUGGGCUCGUGGGCAGUGAAGCUAGAGCUACCUUGAAAGGAGUUGACCCAGUGGAUGUGGUAGGGAGAAAUGCCACAUGAGGGACAGACAGAUAGCGCCCUGAGUGCUGGGAUGGGUGCUGACUAAGCACAAGCCCGCAGGUGAGUCAGCAGGGGGCAAUGUGCAGACUCACCCAUGCUUCAGUUUCUCUCAGGGUGGAGGGUUGCCACAGAGGCUGAGGGAACUAGAAAUGAAAAGACAGACAAUGCGGCUUAGUGGGAAGCCUGUGGCAACAGGUAAGAGGGGCAAACCCUGGAUGUUGUGGGCAGGUCCCUGGCCAGCCUCCCAGGUGCUCUGGCCCCUGUGACUCUCCUUGGCCAGCUUCCACCUGCCUCCAGGAAAUGGAGAUCAGGAACUUGGGAUUCUAUUGUGUAUGGGGUAGGGGUUGGGGUGGGGAGGUUGGAGGAUAAGGAGUCUUUUUUUCAGAACAUGGGCUAGAAUUAAAUAACCCCUACCCCACAAUGUGGACAUGUUUCCAGACAACCCAUCCCUGGAGGGCAGAUACAAUCUUCUCCUUUUUAUUAAAAAAAAAAAAAGUGACCCAUGGUGGGUGAGUCCCUGCAGAAGUAACCGAGGGCUAUAAUUACUGUCAAGCCCAAUAGCCCUGGUUAGUUCAGCUCACAAACUGGCCCAUGUCCACAGUAGCACCUAAGUAUUGUUCUUGUUUAUAGGGAAGAAAUAAAUGGAAACACAAAGAGACUUGGCAGUUAGAGCAGGAGUGAGGACCCCAGGCAAGCUCUCUUCUAGGCUGAGGCUCAUCAGGGUUUUGUUUUGUUUUGUUUUUCUAAGAAUUGCAGCAGGGAAGGAAAAAAAAAAAAAGCUGAAUUGCCAAGUCUGUGUCGAACUUCCCGGGUCAGUGAAAGAAUUUACUGUUUAGAUCAGAGUUGGGAAAGGGACGAGUUUAUUUAGUACCCUGAAGAGAGCAGCAGCAGUGGAAAUAAUAGAAUUCAGCAACGUGGGCUCUCCAUUGUGGAGGGAGCCUCCCUGGGCUAAGGUAAGAUGCUGACCAUGCAUUUCCAGGAUAUUUCCCUCCAUGCAAAUGAGGGCAGGCUGAUGUGCAUCUAUCUGCUCAGGCAGCUAACACAGUCCAGGGUUUUCUGCUGUUUGCUAUUCCACUAAGCUUUUUGGUUUUUGUUUGUUUGGGGAACUGCUUCCUGGAUCUGGCGAUCUGGCUAGUACAGGGCACACACUCACUUUCUGACAGCUCAACCACAGGCUUUUCAAAUGAGCCCGAUAACCCUUUGUCUUAAGAAUGUAGAUAUAUUCUUAAACCGUAGAGAGGAAACGCAUCUCUGUAAAUGUGGGGAAAUGUGAUGUCAGCCAGUAUGGGUGAGAGGUUGGGUUCAUGGCUGCUCCCAGGAGAAACCGUGUGUGUGUGUGUGUGUGUGAGAGAGAGAGAGAGAGAGAGAGAGAGAGAGAUCUCUGUGUGUGGGGGGCUGGUCAUCAGCUGCCAAGCCUGACAGCACCUCAGUUUGAUUCUGGGAUCCACGUGGGAGAAAGAACCUAUCCCAGCAGGUUGUUCUCUGACCUCAUAGGCUAUAUAGCACGUGUGCACCUCCCUCAAAUUAAAAAAAUAAUUAUAAUUAAAUAAUAUAGUUGCAUAUAAAAGGGACACGGCUCAUAGGUGGAGGGCACCACCCGCAUGUCCUGAAGGCACGGCUAGUGUAGGAGGCAGCUGGUCACAUUGCUCAUCCCAGGAGGACUGAAUAAAAACGAGAAAGUGAGUCUGGAAUCCAUCUCUGUCUUCUUCCUGACACCAAACUUCUGCUUGUUCCUGGUCGUCUUGGUCACAUCUAUGGUAGUUUACUGUGGAUAUCUUGUCUGAAGAUCUUAGCUAGAACAAACAAACAAAACCAUCCACGCUGAGUGGGAACUAGAGGGCAGCCUGUCAAGUAAGGAAAACAAGAGGCUGCGAGCACCCGUUACACUGUCAGCUCAGUCCAUGUGCACCUCUGUAGAAAAGUAUUUUCUCUUUCAUCCAUUCAUUUAUACCUUCAUUGUUUCUGCGUUCCUACUUUUAAUUACUUUUUGAAUUAAUUUAGGUUAGCAAACAAAUGAUGUGUUUCAUUAUCAUACUUUCAUAUAUAGGUUAUAAUGCUUUGUUCUUUUUUAACAUUUAUUUAUGCUGGUGUAUGUAUGAGUAUACAAGGUGUAUGUGAAGGUAUAGAAAUGCCUCAGUCUGUGUAUGGAGGUCAGAGAACAACCUCUGUUGGUCCUCUUUUCUUUCCUCUUGCACUGUGCACUCUGAGUUGGGCUGUGAGCUUCUGGAGGAUUCCUCUGUCCUCAUUUCCCAUCUCACCACUGGAGUGUUGGGAUUACAGACAUUCAUCCCUGAGUCUGGUGUCUGGCCUUAAAUGCAUUUCAUGGUGGUCUUCUACUAUCUCUACCAAGUUUCUUGUUCUUCCCUUACUAGGCAUCUUUGGCAGCCAUAUCACAUGGGUUUCAUUAUCCUCUCCCUUUUUUCAGCAUCUUCUCCUCCUAAGAUAUGUUCAUCCCAUCUCACGGUCCCUUUUCUAGUUUUAUGGCACUGGCACUCACACACACGUGCGUGCACACACACAGACACACACACACACUCUCUUUCUCUAAAUCCUGCAUAUGAGACAACAACAUGCAGAAUUUGUCUUUCUGAGCCUAGCUUAUUUCACUUAACAUGAACAAAAGAUGGCCCCCAUCACAGAUGCUCCUGGUGUCUAUGUACCCUAUCUUGUGACUCCUAGAGGGGGGCACUCUCAGGGUUCAGGGUUUGUUAUGAAGAGGGGACUUUUUCAGGCUUCCCUCAGUAUACAACUAUUCCUAAGGAAUGAAGGGCUGUAUGGUUCGGCCUUGAGAUACUCACCGGGCCACAACCCAGGAACUGUUCCAGCCUUUCCCUAACGUGGUGACUAGUGUGUGUGACUAGCAAAGCCUGCUUUGCCUACCAGCCAUCCUUUCCUCUUUCACUUUCGGUCCCAUGCCACUCACACACCUGGCAUGACCUGCCUCUCUUCCCAAGUCUCCUUCCUCACCGAUGCUAGCAGCUGUGGAUUUAAGCCUCUGGAGUUCAGAAAGGUCUCUUUUGUGAAUGAAAAUCAAGUGUCUGCUUAUUUCUAAUCUGGAUCACCUUCUUUAAACAAUCUUGUGCAAGCUGAGUGGUGGGGUGUACACCUGUCGUGCUUGCACUUAGGAGGCAGAUGUAGGAAAGUCAGGAGCCCAAGGCCUGCCUGCCUUGGCUGCACUCAAAUUCAUGACCAGCCUGAGCUACAGGAGACGCUGUUUCAAAAAAACAACAGCAAACCCAAACCCAAAGAAGCUUGUGUCUGAACUCCAAAGAAGCAACACGUAAUUUGCCAUCCAAGGCAGGUAUCUUGAGAGUAAGGGGAGAGGUUUCAAACACAGACACAGGGAAAACAGGCACAAACCGGUACAUGUGCCCAUGUUGUCAGCUGGCUUUGUGCUUUGCAUUGCACAGUAACAGUUAACUUCACAUUUGCUUGGCAUUCCUCUGUCGGUGAGACAAGAGAAGAGUCAGAAUCUGAAAACCCGAGCCAUGCCCUGAACAUCAGAUCUGCAGCCUUCGCUUUGGAUUUGAUCUCUUUCCUGUUAUUUAUGUUUUUAAAAGCUCUCUCUCUCUCUCUCUCUCUCUCUCUCUCUCUCUCUCUCUCUUGUGUGUGUGUUUGUGUAUGUGUGUGUAUGUGUAUGUGUGUGUGUUUGUGUGUGUGUAUGUGUAUGUGUGUGUGUUUGUGUAUGUGUGUGUGUUUGUGUGUGUGUAUGUGUAUGUGUGUGUGUUUGUGUAUGUGUGUGUGUUUGUGUAUGUGUGUGUUUGUGUAUGUGUGUGUGUGUUUGUGUAUGUGUGUGUGUGUUUGUGUGUGUGUGUGUGUUUGUGUGUGUGUAUGUGUAUGUGUGUGUGUUUGUGUAUGUGUGUGUAUGUGUGUAUGUGUAUGUGUGUGUGUGUAUGUGUAUGUGUGUGUGUUUGUGUGUGUGUAUGUGUAUGUGUGUGUGUUUGUGUAUGUGUGUGUAUGUGUGUGUGUUUGUAUAUGUGUGUGUGUUUGUGUGUGUGUAUUUGUAUAUGUGUGUGUAUGUGUGUGUGUGUAUGUGUGUGUAUGUGUGUGUGUGUCAGGUGUCAGAUCCCUUAAAGUUACAGGUUUCUGUAAGCCACCUACCUAUUCGCUGAUUCUAGGACAGAGCACUAACCAUUUCUCCACUUCUCUUUCUAUUUCAAAACUUAGGACCCUGCACAUCUAUGAUAUAGUGCAAGGCUGAGCUGUCCCUCAAACCGGUCAGCAAUUCUAGCAUUAUCUUUGGGGUCCCAGAAGAAAUGGAAAGGAAGGGCAGAGCUCCUAUUCCCAACUGGGUAAUGGAUCAGGGAGGAGAGAGGAAGGCAGGACUUUGAUGGAGAAGCAACUAAGAAGUGAUCAUGCGUCUGCCAUAGUCUUGCUGAACCAUUGAUGUGGACAUUAUGGAGGCCAGGGAGAAUGCAAGGGCAGAGGCAUAAUGUCCUCCUGUUCCCUAAAAGGGGAGCAAAGGGGUGGUGGGCCCGACAGGCAAUGAAGAACUGAUGUUAGUGAGGGUGUUUUAAUGAUUUCCGGAAAAACUGCCUGGCAGGUAGUGGCUGGAAAACACCUGGCAGCUGGCAGGUAGGGUCAGCGUCACAGCAGUUUCCGUGUCCUCUCAGCUCUGAUUUCUUUUGCAUCCAGUCCUAACAUCAAGCAUGCCUUGUCCUAGAAUCUUUAAAGCUAUUUCUGUGGUUUGCACUCCUUUUCCCACCUCUGAUUUUCACAGUAUUUCAGGAAAAAAAUUUCCUGGUCCUUUUGAUUUUGUGUAGACACUCAGGCAGGGAAACAGUGGUGUGUGUGUGUGUGUGUGUGUGUGUGUGUGUGUGUGUGUGUGUGCACGCGUGCGCGCACAUGUAUGUUCAGCCCAGAUUCUGCUUUGUAUGGCUGAAAAAAAAAUCCUCACUUUCCACAUAGCUGUAGCUGUCCUUUCAGAUUCCCAGUGCCUUGGUAGAAAUACCCUUUGCUCUUUGCUGGUUUGGGGCCAUGGUAUAAAGAUACCCCAGUCUACAUAAUAUCUUUUUUUAAUGAUUUAUUUAAUUAUUUUAUGUAUAUGAGGACACUGUCGCUGUCUUCAGAUACACCAGAAAAGGGCACCAGAUCCCAUUACAGAUGGUUGUGAGCCACCAUGUGGUUGCUGGGAAUUGAGCACAGGACCUCUGGAAGAUCAGCCAGUGCUCUUAACCAGUGAGCCACCUCUCCAGCUACUACAUGAUAUAAAUUUAAAUGCAAUUUUAAAAGCAAUGAGGCUUGCAAAUUGCCUUGCCUUGUGUGUUACCUUGAUGGGUACAUUGUCUGCCCAAUUGAAGUGAAACUUACAAUGAUGUGGGUAGUGUCUACCAGGAAAUCUUCCAAUCUCUGAAAAUCUUUAAUUGCCGAAGGUUUUGCACUCUAGUUUCUUUCUUUUCUUGAAAUAAGGUCUCUAGUAGCCCAGGCUGACCUCAAACUUGCAGUGUAGCUGAGGGUGACGUUGAAUUUCUGAUCCUCCUGCCUUGACCAAAGCACUGGAAUUACAGGCACAGGACACUCUUGUGCUACAUUUCCCUCCUAGGUUAAAACAUUCAUUUUUUCUCCAGGGAAACUCUCUAAGCAGUGAGAUAAUUCAAGACAGAUUCAGGAAGUUCCUGAAACUGACUGUAUUCUCUAGGCCUCUCCCUCCCAGAGUUAAGCAAUAAAGCUGCAGACAAGAAUGAGAUCAAACUAGCUGCCUGGAAGAAGCAGACACCAGCUGAGUUCCCUGGAAGAGGUGUAAGACUAGAGUCACUUGGAAAGGAUACUUUCUAACCUGCUGAAUUGCCUGCAGGCGGUGUAGUGUAUGUUGAAGGUUCUGAGCUUUUGUGAGCUGCCACUGUGCUGGGAUGGGCUUUGGUGAUGCAGUUGUAGGUAACCCCAAUAAAACUCAUUGGUUCACCAGGUUGGACUUGGAGGUGUCCAUACUUUGAUCUGUCCUGGGUCCCCUAUCUUGAAUGAGUAGAUAGGAUCUCCAGGAAAAGUUUUGUAACACACCAGCUACCACUCCCUUUUCUAUUAGAACUCAGGGCUUCUUGCGUGCCAAGCAAGCUCCCUACCAACUGAGUUACACCCCCAGCCUCACCUCCAUUUCAUUAAACAACAACAAUAAACAAACAAGCAAAACAUCCAAGACUAGGCCUCACUGUGUAGCUCUGGUUGUCCUGGAACUAUCUAGACCAGACUGACCUCAGUGUUACAGACAUCCACCUGCCUCUGCCUUCCAAACACUGGGAUUAAAGGUGCGUUCACCAACACAUCCAGUAAGCCUCCUACCCCACACCUCUACUUAAUUUUUUUGAACCCAACCAUGCAACUUAUGAUGUAGCCCAGGCUGGCCUUGGAUUCAACAUCUUCCUGCCUCAGCCUCUUAAAUUCUAGUGUUACAGACUUGUAACACCAAGUCCAGCUGUUUUGUUAGUUUUUGUUUUUGCUUUUGUUUUGUUUCUUCUUGACAGUGUCACACUUUGUAGCUGAGCCUGCUCUGGGACUCACCCAGUAGCCAAGGAUGACCAUAGACUGGUGAGCCUCUUGUCUCCAUCUCCUGAGAGCUAGGAUCAUAGUCAGAAACCACCGUGCUCAGACUGAUAGGCUGUUGGCUGAGUGAUUCCCGUUAGAGGUGUUUCUGGUGGGCUGAGCAGGGCGAGAAGUAUAAAAACCACUCUGCAAGCACCCAGCAUCUCAUUGGCUGCAUGGAACUGUAAGGAGGGUGGGAGAGACGUUUGGAAGAGAGAGCUGAGGGAGUCUAGGGGAUGCAGUGGGUUCUGUGUUUCGGACAUGAUAGAGAAGAAUUAAAAACUGAAGCUGUUUCUGAGGCCCUAAGCCCAGAACAACUGGUUCAGGGCUAGAAAGCAGUGUGGGGCACUGGCUGUGAGGCAGACUGGUCUCUUUACUCCAGUUUCAGAACCAUGAUGGUAUGUUAGACCUUUCAUGCUAUGGGAAACCACCCAAGAAAACAAUUUAAGAGUGAGGGGAGGUGAAUUGUAUUUCAGGAUCAGUCCUGUGACCCUCACCCUUGAUCUCUGGACUGUCCGGUAAUCAGUUAUCAGAGAUAUCCCAUAAUCAUCAGCAAGGGGAGAUGCGUUAUAUUCCAGCUUAUGAUAAAGAAAGGCUAAGUCUGUGGAAGAGUAAGGGUGGAGGUGAGGUGGGAGACGGUGCCCUGUUGCUGUUUGGAAAUACAAAGCAUUUAAAACAUGGAGAAAUCUUUUCUUUCCAACUUUCCUUGGAGAGGUCCUGUUCUUCACUGGACCUUCCUGCUCCACACCCCAGCAGUUCUUCUACCUGCUUUAAUCCCCAAUAUUCCCCCAGCCAAGCGCCCCAGUCCAGUGUCAUCUCCUGAUCGCUAUUUCACUUGUAGACAAAGACCUCAAGCGUUCCUGCAGAGUGCUCAUUUCCAAAAAAAGGCCCGGAACUAAGCUAACCUCCUGAGUGGAGAGAACAUAAAAAAUCCAUCAGAAACCGACAAAGAAGAACGGCUGAUUAAAACAUCCCUGAGCCUUUGAGUUAUCAAACACUCUGCGAGAACCUUCAUUACCCUGGGUGGGCGGAUGGGGAGGGCUGGGAGUAUAAGGCAGGGAGAGGAGCCGGAAUAUAACCGGAAGAUAAAUAGACAAAGGAUUUUCCCAGCCUGCAGGCUCCUGAGGACACUCCCGAAAGGCUGGUGAGUCAGCAACAGUCAGCACACUGCUGAGUUUGGGGUAACUGUGGGCAACAGGCACAGAAUCCAAGUCUUUUUUUUUUUUUUAAAUCAACGGAAGAGACUAGUAUGGGGAAGGUUCUACAAGAAAAAUAAACAAGGUGGUAAGAGGGUUGGUUGGAGGCAGGGUAGCAGGAAGUCCAGCAUGUUGAGUGUGACUGAUAGACAGGAGAAAAGGGAUGCUCUGGCCCCUGUGUCUGCCUCCUCUCCAUAUCAGGGCACUUCAUCACCUUAAGCAUCUUGCCUUCAGUUGGUAGCUGUCCUUUUCAUAUGGUAUCAGCCACACUGGCAUCUCUGUAGAUACUGAGUAGCUAAAACUCAGAUCCUAGUGUGAAUUCUGGCCAUCAUCACACAGCCAUUUGGCUCUGGGUAGACUUGCCUUCCGGAGGUUUGCUUACUCACUGGGACUGUGCCCUGGGGCUAUCACACCCCACCUCUGUGUCUUGAGUGAGGAAGAGGUUGAGCAUUGUGUCAGACACUGCUGUGUUUUAUCACGUAGUUCUCUUUCUGUUCCCAGAUUAUACCCUGAGCAUGCAUGCAUAUCUCUUUCUCUCUCUCUCUCUCUCUCUCUCUCUCUCUCUCUCUCUCUCUCUCUCUGUAUGUGUGUAUAAUAUAUAUAGUAUAUUAUAUUAUAUUAUACACACACACAUUCUUUUUGGAUUCAGCCUCAAGCUAUAUUUUUGCCAGGUGUGUAAAAAGAGGCUCCCUGAGACAGGUGUGGUAGUUUGUGACUAUGUUCUUUGUUGGUAGAGGCAGGAGGAUCAGACAUUUAGAGUCAUCCUUGGCUACACAGCAAGUUACAGGACAUCCAGGGCUACAUGAGACCUGUCUCAGAAACCUCAAACUCAAGCAAUAAGAAGAGUAAAACAUUUAAUACAAAAUUGUGUUUAAAUUGAGCAUAGACCGGACUGCCUGGUCAUUGUCCCUCUGGAGGCUUUGGGGAGAGCUGCCCCCUCCCCCCACAGUUUCCCUCUCCCAUCUGAACCUUUCAAACUAACUUUUUUAUUUUUUGCAGAGACCUUCAGAUAAUUUGGAAACCACCCACCACUCUCAAAUAGCAGAAAUAAGAUGCUAUUGCAUAUAUGUGUUUGGGAGGGGCCAUGCAGCUGACCCACUACCCUGGGAUUGUUCUUAUUAAAUCGAGCAUCCUAGACCUGCCAGCUGGCCACCUGUGAUCACAGGGCUAGAAAGGGGGUGUUUUCAGAUGGGGAUUACUGUGACGUCUGGGCCUGUGCAGCACAAGGCAGCCUCAUGAGUGUCAAGUGGCCUAUACAAGCAGUCUACCCCUCGCCCGAUCACCUAGUCCUCAUCUGUUAGCCCAGCUCCCUCUCCACAAACAGGUAUGUGCUUGCCCAGUGAAACUGGUAGCCUCAGGGUUAACACUGCUGCCCAGAGCUCACCUGGGAGUGUUGGUUUAUGUUACUGAGUUGUUGAAGUGUUUCUGGGAACUCUCGGAAGACCUAGCAAAGAUGCAGUCAUUUUCCAGGAACAUGGACUGUGUCACAGGUUUCAGGGAUAAGCCAAUUUUCUAUGCUUUUCCUGUACUGGUCUAGACUUUGUUGACCCAUACAUUUAUAGAAGCAGAACCUUUCAGGAUCAGUCGAGAGAGUCUUGGGGAGCCUGUCUCAGGAAGCCAUGGUGGUCUAAACACCUUGCAGGCUGAGGCAUAGUGGAAAGAUGCAGGGAAGUCACUAAUACUGAAACUCACAGAGAGGGAGGGUUACAGACCCAGGAGAAGGUUCAAAGUUCUCCAAGUGUCUCCUGUCCCAAGAAUAAUCCUCUGAGAAGAGCUCUCCUCACAAAGCAAGGGCUCUACUGAGUCAUUCUUCAUGGGGGAGGAGUGGGCCUAUCUUCCUCUGACUGCCUCUGAAGCCUCAAAUGACACAGUAGCUCUGCGCUCAUAGCUGCCCACUCUCCAGAUGCAAGCCAUGGUCCAGGACAAGCUUUUCUGAGUGUUGACCUUAACGGUGAAUGGUACAGAGGCCCAUUGCCCAGGAGUACCCAUUCCCGAACACUGGUUUCCUUUCAGUGAGCCUUGCAGGGAUACACCGCUGAACCACAUUCCACGUUGCUUUUCGUGAAUGUGCCGCUCACUGGGAUGGGGUCAGGUACUGGGAUUUUAAAGCAUGUUCUCUAAUGUGACCGAGAUAAAGCAAUGCUUCUUGUGCGUUAUCCGUAUUUACAUCCAUUUAAUAAAGCAAUGGGGUAGUGUUUUCAGUCUCUCCUAAGAAGCAUUUCUUUCCCAACAGCUCAACCUUUUCCUUCUUUGUGGCCCUUUGGCCAAGAGGCCAGGGCAAGAAGCAGAAGUAAGCCUGUCAGGGAGGUAGUAUUAAUCGAAGGUGUUUCUUGUCUUGUUUUGAGUUCUGAAGUCAACUUAAAACCUUACAGCCAGACAACAGACUCAAGAGCCAGAUUUCCCAAAGAGAGUAUGUUCUUAAAACCCCAAGGCUAAGGGUUUUGUAUAUGAAGAAUCAAAGCUCAGAGAAA